GGAUGUGAGGGUAAUCUGGCUGCAGACGGCUGUCACCCAGUUUAUUUGCCAGGGUUGCUUAGGCUGGAGAGUGUCAAUUUCCUUCCUCAGUGUUUCCUCCCAAAGCUGAAAUGUUACUAAAGAGGGACCAUUCCUGAUGAAAACCACUUUCCUGGCAAUGGUGUAGGAGUAGCAUACUCCCUGCUAGGACCCCUAAACAAGCUCUCUGGUCCACUGGCAACAUAACAUACGGUCUUCAAGCUUCCAGGAUCCAAAAGAUGUGGUGCAUGUGGUAGCAUACCUAUCUUU
ensembl:misc_RNA 7SK 7SK RNA